rnacentral:rRNA from 1 species
CACCAGGCGCGAAAACUUUACAAUGCUGGCAACAGCGAUAAGGGGACCUUGAGUGCCAGGAUACAAUCCUGGCUGUCGUGAUGCCUAAAAAGCAUUAUAUAGCAAGGGCCGGGCAAGACCGGUGCCAGCCGCCGCGGUAACACCGGCGGCUCGAGUGGUAACCGCUAUUAUUGGGUCUAAAGGGUCUGUAGCCGGCUUGGUUAGUCUCUUGGGAAAUCCGGCAGCUUAACUGUCGGGCUUUCAGGAGAUACUGCCAGGCUCGAGACCGGGAGAGGUGAGAGGUACUUCAUGGGUAGGGGUGAAAUCUUGUAAUCCUUGAAGGACCACCAGUGGCGAAGGCGUCUCACCAGAACGGAUCUGACGGCAAGGGACGAAAGCUAGGGGCACGAACCGGAUUAGAUACCCGGGUAGUCCUAGCCGUAAACGAUACUCGCUAGGUGUCGGCCACGGUGCGACCGUGGUCGGUGCCGUAGGGAAGCCGUGAAGCGAGCCACCUGGGAAGUACGGCCGCAAGGCUGAAACUUAAAGGAAUCGGCGGGGGAGCACAAGGGC